GCGGCGUGCUUAACACAUGCAAGUCGAACGAAGCUAAUUCCGAAAGAGGUUCGGCCAAUGGAAGAGAUAGCUUAGUGGCGGACUGGUGAGUAACGCGUGAGGAACCUGCCUUUCAGAGGGGGACAACAGUUGGAAACGACUGCUAAUACCGCAUGAAGCAUAGAAGGGACAUCCCUUUUAUGCCAAAGAUUUAUCGCUGAAAGAUGGCCUCGCGUCUGAUUAGCUAGUUGGUGAGGUAAUGGCCCACCAAGGCGACGAUCAGUAGCCGGACUGAGAGGUUGACCGGCCACAUUGGGACUGAGAUACGGCCCAGACUCCUACGGGAGGCAGCAGUGGGGAAUAUUGGGCAAUGGACGAAAGUCUGACCCAGCAACGCCGCGUGAAGGAAGAAGGCUUUCGGGUUGUAAACUUCUUUGACAGGGGAAGAGUAGAAGACGGUACCCUGAAAACAAGCCACGGCUAACUACGUGCCAGCAGCCGCGGUAAUACGUAAGUGGCAAGCGUUGUCCGGAUUUACUGGGUGUAAAGGGCGUGUAGCCGGGAAGGCAAGUCAGAUGUGAAAUCCGUGGGCUUAACCCACGAACUGCAUUUGAAACUGCUUUUCUUGAGUAUCGGAGAAGUAU
rnacentral:rRNA from 1 species